AGGCUUUAGUAGUGAUCUAAGUGUGUAUUAUCCUGGCAGAUUGCUUGCAUUUGUCAUUAUGUUACUUAGGAGACGGUAGAGAUUCUGAAUGCGAAGUUUAAUUUUAGCUGUUUCAAUCUCCUUGUCUAGAAAGGAUUGAUGAUAAGCUGAUAUAACGAUUAUGUUGUUCAACCUCUCAAUGUCAAAACUUAAGGGGUAGAAACUGGCAAACAUGUGACACCUGGCGUUCUUGUUUUACCGUGAUUAAAGGUGUAUAAUUAUGUGGAGAACCUACUCUCCUUGGUUUUGUGUGACUGCAUAUAUGAAUUGAAUAAAAAAUAAUUUUUAGAAUAUUUUGAGCUGCCGAAAGUUUCUUCUGGCAUAUUCUGAAUCUAUGGCGAUCCUGCCCUAGUACAUUUUAAAGGUUAUUUCUUCUAAUUCCAUUGAAUUGAUGGAGUUUGUCUUAGCAUGGUUGAAACACCUGUUUUUGUAGUUCAUCUCUGAUUAGAUGUCCUACCGUGAUCACCUAAACUAAGAUAAUAUAAGGUUUCUGUUAUGUUCCACUCUGGCGGGUAAAUGUAUCAACACAUUGCUUGAAAACACUUUUCCUCUAUGCUAGAAUGAUAGAUGAAAAAUCUCUG
rnacentral:lncRNA from 1 species